GGGUGAUUUGGCUGUGACCUCUGUCACCCCUGUGAUCACCAGGGUUGAUUUGGCUGAUCUGGCUAGCUAGGCAGGUAUCCCCUUCCUCCACGUGUGUUCCUCCCAAAGAGGACUCUUUCCUUGGUCAAGGAUGUGCAAGUAGUUACACUCCCCUGCUAGAACCUCCAGACAAGCUCUCAAGGAGUGGAGCACUAACAUUACUGUAAUAUGAAUGAACCUUGAAAACUUUAUGGUCUGUGAAAGAGGCCAGCCACAAAAGGUCACAU
rnacentral:snRNA from 1 species